rnacentral:rRNA from 1 species
AAAUGCGAUACGUAGUGUGAAUUGCAGAAUUCCGCGAAUCAUCGAGUCUUUGAACGCAACUUGCGCCCGAGGCUUGUCCGAGGGCAUUUCCGCCAGAGCGUCAACGCG